CAGGGCUAUGGGGAGAGAGACCAACUUCUGGGGCAGUCAGGGGUAGCUCUGAGGAACCUUGAAGGCUGGGCAGAACUUACAUAGCACAGGUGGACUCUGUGUCCACAGGCAGCAUCCUGGAGAUCAUAAAGCCUUCGUAGCCUCCCAUUUCACCCCUGUUUUACAAGUUAGAAGAGAGGUUCAGAGAUAAAUGGACUUGUGUAAGUUCACCCAGCCAGUAAGUAGCAGAGCCGAGACCAGAGCCCAGGUCUGUCUCCAUCUUUGCGUCAGUUGCAAACAAGACAAGAAGCAGCCAGAGCCAGGGUAUGAGGGGUGGUGGGGGUAGUGGUGGCAGGUGAGGCAUCUGCUCAGCUGGAAUAAAGGUUUUUCCUUUGGGUGUGAAGUGAGGCUGGUAAGCCAGGGUGCGACCUAAUCAUAGAGAGCCUUCCUAUAGUGUCCCUAGGGAGCUAUUGAAGGUUUGUUUGGGGUUUUUUUGAGACAGGGUCUUGCUGUAUUGCCCAGGCUGGAGUGCAGUGGCAUGAUCAUGGAUCACUGUAGUCUCAACCUCCUGGGCUCAAGUGAUCCUCCUGCCUUAGCCUUUUGAGUAGUUGGGACCACAGAUAUGCACUACCACACCUGGAUACCACACCUCUAUUUUUAUUUUUUGUAGAGAUAGGGUAUUGCUAU
rnacentral:lncRNA from 1 species